rnacentral:rRNA from 1 species
CCUACGGGUGGCAGCAGUGGGGAAUAUUGCACAAUGGGGGAAACCCUGAUGCAGCGACGCCGCGUGGGUGACGAAGUAUUUCGGUAUGUAAAGCUCUAUCAGCAGGGAAGAAGAUGACAGUACCUGACUAAGAAGCCCCGGCUAACUACGUGCCAGCAGCCGCGGUAAUACGCAGGGGGCAAGCGUUAUCCGGAUUUACUGGGUGUAAAGGGGGCGUAGGUGGCAUGGCAAGCCAGAAGUGAAAACCCGGGGCUUACCCCCGCGGUUUGCUUUGGAAACUGUCAGGCUGAGGUGAGGGGGGGGAGGCGGAAAUUCUGGUGUAGCGGUGAAAUGCGGAGAGAUCAAGGAGAACA